rnacentral:rRNA from 1 species
GGAUCAGGUAGGAAUACCCGCUGAACUUAAGCAUAUCAAUAGCCGGAGGGGA